GGUUGUGAAUAAAAUAAAGACCAGAGAAAAGGACCGAGGGUAUCUCCAUUAGGGACAGACAAUGAAAGAAAAGAAAUCUGAGGAGGAGAACCAAGUAGUGCCACAGGAAGUGAAAGAAAAAGUUUCAAGGAAAAAAAAAAGUUACCAAAUCCUUAAAGUUAAGAAAUCUGAAGACUGAGAAAAUCAUGGUUUUGAUAAAUCUAGUAAUAUCAAUGAUCUUCAAGACAAUAGUUUUAGUAGAAUAAUGGGGUUCACCAAAUCAUAAAUGCUAAGGAGUGAGCAGAAUAUUAGGUAUGGGCAUCAAAUGUAUAUUCCUUUGAAAAGUUUGAUAGAGGGCAAACAUGUGACAGUAUAUUUUAAAAGUAAUAGAAUCCAGAAAAAGGUGUUG